rnacentral:rRNA from 1 species
UGCCACUGCCAUAUCACACUGCAACCCAAGUCUGGUUAUUCACUGAAGCUAAGCAGGGCUUAGCCUGGUCAGUACCUGGAUGGAAGGCCUAGGUUGGGAAACAUAGACAUGGGAAAACUACAUUGCUGUUGGAA